CCUUCGGGCGCCGCAACCGCCGCCGCCGCCGCCGCCGCCGCCGCCGCCGCCGCCAUGCUGGGCCCCGCGCCGCUUCCGGUUGGGGCGUGCCUGCGCAUGCGCACCGGGAGCCCUGGGUUCGCCCUGGGUUCGCCCUGCCCUCUCUCCGCCAAGUCUUGCCGCGCAAGUUUGAGUAACAAAAUGUAAGCGUGAAGCCACCGUUGAAGCUAAGAAAGGCUAUCGUGAGUGGAUCCACUGCCAAGAGUCGCGACGUCUGGAACUGAGGAUGCGCUCCUCCUAGACGGGUCACUAGUCUGGUGAAACUCGCGACCCGUCCGGUCGGUCUGAGGAUCGAAGGCACCGGAGACCGGUCACCCCUCCCCGGAGACUCCGCGCCCGGCUGCUGGAAACCCUAUGGGGGAAGACAAGAACCCAAUAGGUUCUCGAAGAAGGUCUCUAGAUGUCCAAUGGGUAAGACUCACUGGUCCUGUUGCAUUUGUUUUUGCUCCUUCUCAUCCAGGACAUGAUUCCCAUCUUGGUCGAACUUGGUGAAGGUAGCUGCGAGCUCAGUGAUCUCGUGCUCUCUGUGGCCCAGUCUGAGGAGAACAGGAUGAUGAAAUAACUUCUGACAAGCUGUGGCUGUGAUCUCUUGAUUAUGGACUCCCUACUCUUUUAGCCAGAUUCUGGCAGGAGUCUCAUUCUCUAGGGAAGAAAGGGACCACCUCAUAGGAAAGCCGGGAUCUCCAAGGUCUAGCAAUUUUACCCCCAAGAAAUCACUUGAGUCUAUUUCUUUCAUUCCUGUCUCCUGGUUCGAGCCCUUGUGAUCUCCUACAAUGCAAAAUCUCUUUGCCUUAAAUAACCUGCCCUCCAUUUCCUCAGCCUCCCCUUUACUCCCUACUUGAAAUCCAUUCUCUCUAAUGCAAGUAGGGUAAUUGAUCUUUCUAAAGUAUGGGUCUAAAUGUACCCCUUCCCUUCUUAAAAUGCCUCUUGAGCAUCCUAUCCUUUGGAUAGAGUAGUAGUGUUUGAGGCUUUUCCCAAUGUGGUCCUUGCCCAUUUCUAUGGCCUCACCUCCUGCUAUGUCCCACCUUUCACUGGAUACCUGAGCAAUGAGCAACUGCUUAUUAUUCAGUGCCUGGCCUACAGCUGGUACUUAUAAUAUAUUUCUUUAGUGUUUGUUAAUAUGUUUAACUGGGAAGCUGGGAGAGCAUAGCUAAGGAAAUAAACCAGUGUUUGUGGGGGAGCAUGGAACCAAGAUCAGAGUUUUGUGGGAGUGAGGGAUGUAUACAAUGAUCAUGGAAUUAUAUUACAUUACUCCCAAGAGUUGGUUCAACAAAGUCCACAACAUUAUAGAACAUGGUCAUAGACCUUUAAACCAAGGGCACAAUUCUGAAGGACAAGAUCAGAGACAUAUAGGCCAAGGUCAAAAGCCUAUUAGCCAAGGGCAGAGACCCAUAGGCCAAGAUCAGAGGCUUAUAGGCAAAGGAUGUAUGGUUGAGGGUCAAGGAUUUAUAGACCAAUAUCAGAGAAAGCUGGAUCUCUGAUUGCUCACUCCCUCAAGGUGUUUGUGAAAUCCUCAAACUGGAUCUUCUGCUCCCCACCCUGCAGGACCUUCUGCACAUCCGAAACCUGUUUCUUCCUGAGACGCAGCCUCAGUAGGGUCUUGUUGUAGCCCUGGAAAGGGAAACAGGCACCAGUUCCCACAGCCUCCUCCUCAUCCCUUCCCCUCACCCCCAUCCACAGGAUUCCAGGCUUCCAGGGACAGAUUGAAAGGACACAAGAGCACAGGCCCCUACAUCAGUCAGGAACAGACCAGGACACAGAGCCUUGGACAUGGGCCCUGAUGUAGAUAUGCAGCUCAAGGAGACUUAGUAGUUACCUGUUUCAGGAAGUCAGAAAUCUGUAGCUCAUCCUUCUGUCCAGCCAACUCCUCCUUGACCUCUGAAUAUGUGUCAUUGAUGAUGGCAAGAAACAUGUUCUGGAGGGUAAGGCAGGGAUGUGGGUCCUUAUGCCCAGACCCACUAACAGCAGGGACCCCACUGGCCCUAUUAAUGAUCUAUACAUGUUCUAAAGGGGCCAUGCUUUCAACCCCAGAUCUGCAGCCCACUAACCCCUGAAUCUCAAGGUCCCCAGAGCCCAGCCUUUCAGCAGUCCUGUUAGUGAUGGAUCAUGAAGUGGUGACCUCACUCCAUUGCUACAGUAACCUGACCAGAAAGAUACCCCAACAUAUGCCACAGCCCCUUCAUGUAAGGGCCCACCAGGCACUGAAGCCAGAAACUUUCCAAGGCGUUAAUAUAAUUGUGAUCUCUUUAUCAUCAAUCCAUGUCUGUAUCCCUAUCUAUUGAUCAAAUAAAUAAACCUGCUACUUUGUUAAUAAAAA